AAAUGUCGUGUUUAAUUACUCUAUUGGCACAUUGCAGCCUCCAUACUUGUUCUUUAUAAAAAUGUAUUCAUAUUUAAUUAGUUUUGGGGAACAAAUUUCAAAUGUAAACUUUUUAAAGUUUUGAGCUCCACAGUGUCCGGGUCUGGGAGAUAUUGGAGAUCUCAAACCGGCAAAUAAACCAAACGGUCUGCAUGCCUGUACAGUGACCUCUGACCUUUGACUGCCUUCCUGUUGGACGUCUGUGAGGCCGCUGAUGGAGGAGCUGAGGCUCAUUCUGCUGCUGUAAGUCACCCUGAAUAAACGGCUAAAGAAAAUGUAAAUGUAACCCGCUUUCUCAGCCUAUGUUUGAUUGAUUGCGUCUUCAUCCUUCAUCUGGGACUUUUAUCCCAGAUAUGAAAAUUGUAUUAGUAGAAGAUGGCUAUUUAUCUGUGAAAACGUAGCUUGACUUAAACAUCUCAACUACUAUUAUUA